AGGAGAUUCCUAGGACACUGCCUCCUGAGAUCCUUGAACCUCUUCCAUGCCUCGUAUAGAUUUUCACUUCCGAAUUGCUGGAAAUUAUGGAUUUGCUUCUUCAAUUU